AGUGACUGAGGGUGAGGCUGGGGGAACCACGGCACCCCAUCGUCACACUCCGAUGCUGCGUGGGUCAGCGUCCACAACACCAGCACUGAGCCAGGCCGCAAACAUUUACUGAGCAUCUAUUAAAAGUGCCGGGCACCCAAAAGAUAGUGGUCCCUAUCCUGAGGCUAACUGGCAGAAGGAAACGGAUAACAACCCAGAAGUUAAGAGCAAACCGCAGAAUCAGUUCCGUGAUGAAGGAGGUGGCGCUCCAGCAGAGAUUUGAGUGGUGCGAAGAAAUUCAAAGGUCGAGGCAACAGCUAGUGCAAAGGCUCCGAGGCUCAAAUCAGAAUGGCGGCUCAAAUCAGAAUGGCGGAACAAACAGCAAGAUUUACUGAGCACCUACCACGUGGCUUUACACUGUUUUGCUGAGGUUACUAUGGUGAACAAGACAGACCAAGCCCUAAUCUUCCGAGAGCUAACAUUCCAGGCUGGGAGAGGAUAGACAAGAAACAAAUGAGUAAGCAAGAUAAUUCAGAUAACGUUUGAUAAGCAAAUAAGAACAAGCAGUAUAGGGGAUCCCUGGGUGGCGCAGCGGUUUGGCGCCUGCCUUUGGCCCAGG